UAAAUAUAAUUAGUCCCCAAUUCCCGAACCCUACAACAUUACCUCUGUCUUUUUCCAGUUAAAACCCCUGCACUCCACUGCCGGCUGCCGCUUCUCGCCGUCAGUUGUCAGCGAUCAGGAGGAUUUAUGAUUCGGACGAUGAAAAUUGAAAAGAAAAUAGAAAAAAGUCUUUGCAUUAUCCUAUGAAUGUUCGGAAGGAUUCAAACAAAGAUAUUGGGGAAUCAUCUAAAUCAAAGGUUGCUAAAAUACACCAAAAAAAGAGAAAAGCAUCAGCAACCAUUAUUGUCAGGCCGACAUUGCUUCGGCCAUUCAAGUACAAGAUAAAAAAGAUACCAACACAUCCCAUAAGGUUUGCUGUCAAUUUUAACAACACUUUUUUGAAGGACUUUGAAAAAUAUAGGGGAGAAUGUAAUCCAACUUUUUAGGGAUACACUUUUUGGACCCUUUUUAGAUAUUACUAAGUGUAAUUUUUAGGGCCAAAUCACUAAGUGCUUGUUGUUGUUAGAGUUGGAACAAAGCAACCCUAAUGUGUUGCAUAUUAGACAUUC